rnacentral:rRNA from 1 species
AUUGAACGCUGGCGGCAUGCUUUACACAUGCAAGUCGAACGGUAACAGGCCGCCAGGUGCUGACGAGUGGCGAACGGGUGAGUAAUGCAUCGGAACGUGCCCAGUCGUGGGGGAUAACUACUCGAAAGAGUAGCUAAUACCGCAUACGAUCUAUGGAUGAAAGCGGGGGACUGUAAGGCCUCGCGCGAUUGGAGCGGCCGAUGUCAGAUUAGGUAGUUGGUGGGGUAAAGGCUCACCAAGCCAACGAUCGGUAGCUGGUCUGAGAGGACGACCAGCCACACUGGGACUGAGACACGGCCCAGACUCCUACGGGAGGCAGCAGUGGGGAAUUUUGGACAAUGGGCGCAAGCCUGAUCCAGCAAUGCCGCGUGCAGGAAGAAGGCCUUCGGGUUGUAAACUGCUUUUGUACGGAACGAAACGGCUCUGGUUAAUACCCGGGGCUAAUGACGGUACCGUAAGAAUAAGCACCGGCUAACUACGUG